CCCUACGGGAGGCAGCAGUGAGGAAUAUUGGGCAAUGGAGGCAACUCUGACCCAGCCAUGCCGCGUGCAGGACGACGGCUCUACGAGUUGUAAACUGCUUUUGUACCGGGGUAAAAUGCCUUACGAGUGGGGUUUUGAAAGUACGGUACGAAUAAGGAUCGGCUAACUCCGUGCCAGCAGCCGCGGUAAUACGGAGGAUCCGAGCGUUAUCCGGAUUCAUUGGGUUUAAAGGGUGCGUAGGUUGUUUUAUAAGUUAGCGGUGAAAUACCGAUGCUCAACAUCGGGGCUGCCGCUAAUACUGUAGG
rnacentral:rRNA from 1 species